rnacentral:rRNA from 1 species
AUUGAACGCUGGCGGCAGGCUUAACACAUGCAAGUCGAGCGAGCGGCGGACGGGUGAGUAAUGUCUGGGAAACUGCCUGAUGGAGGGGGAUAACUACUGGAAACGGUAGCUAAUACCGCAUACUAUCAGAUGUGCCCAGAUUGGAUUAGCUAGUUGGUGGGGUAAUGGCUCACCUAGGCGACGAUCCCUAGCUGGUCUGAGAGGACGACCAGCAACACUGGGACUGAGACACGGUCCAGACUCCUACGGGAGGCAGCAGUGGGGAAUAUUGCACAAUGGGCGCAAGCCUGAUGCAGCCAUGCCGCGUGUAUGAAGAAGGCCCUCGGGUUGUAAAGCACUUUCAGCGAGGAGGCGUUACUCGCAGAAGAAGCACCGGCUAACUCCGUGCCAGCAGCCGCGGUAAUUC